CCUACGGGGGGCAGCAGUAGGGAAUCUUUCACAAUGGGCGAAAGCCUGAUGGAGCAACGCCGCGUGCAGGAUGAAGGCCUUCGGGUUGUAAACUGCUUUUAUAAGCGAGAAAUAUGAUGGUAACUUAUGAAUAAGGAUCGGCUAACUACGUGCCAGCAGCCGCGGUCAUACGUAGGAUCCGAGCAUUAUCCGGAGUGACUGGGUGUAAAGAGUUGCGUAGGUGGCAUAAUAAGUAGCUAGUGAAAUCUGGUGGCUCAACCAUUCAGACUAUUAGCUAAACUGUUAAGCUCGAGACCGUUAGGGGUAACUGGAAUUUCUAGUGUAGGAGUGAAAUCCGGAGAUAUUAGAAGGAACACCAAUAGCGUAGGCAGGUUGCUGGGACGGUUCUGACACUAAGGCACGAAAGCGUAGGGAGCAAACGGGAUUAGAUACCCCAGUAGUC
rnacentral:rRNA from 1 species